GUAGUAGUAUUGCAUCACUGAUCAUAUAGCAAACUAAAUUUAGCAACUACUCACCGUAAGAUUAGAAAAUUCAACCUAGAACAAUACCGGCAACCGGAGAUACUCCAAGAUGAAUGGUGUUUCCAAACCAAUAGUUUCAACCCAGAACAAUACUGGCAACCUGGGAUACACCAAGAUUAAUGGUGUUUCUAAGAGAAGAGUUCCCAUUAGUUAUUAUAU
rnacentral:misc_RNA from 1 species